ensembl:lncRNA
GACCAAUAAGAUGUGAGGAUAAAUCUGCUGGGGGACUUAAGCGAAAGGGCUCUUUUCCUUUCAAGAGCUCAUAGGGAGAAGAGGCAGAAUGCUCUUCCUUUGGACACUGUCGUGUUUGCCGGUGAUUCCUGGGAUUACGGCAGCUAUUGCCAAGAAGGGCGUCAACCCCAGAGCAGAAUAGAAAAGUGGAGGAUGGCAGAGACAGGUGGUGAGAAGGACCUUCCUUUAUAUGACGUCUUUGCCUGUUGGAGCCACUUUCAUUUUAGGACUGGGUGGUACUUUUUCUCACGAUCUUUCAUCAUAAGAGCAGAUGUCCGCCAUGCAGACAGAGAAUCAAGAAGACAAGCCUAAACAGGGCCCAUAAGUUCUUCUACCAGAAUCAGAAGGUGGAGGACCAGGCUGACGUGUCCUCCCCACUCUCCCGUUGAGGGGCUUCAGUCUCUCUAGGCCCAUCUGUGACUUAAGUCAGAUUUCCAUGGACUAUAUUCUAUUUUUAAGUCCUGUGUUUUCUGAUUGAGAAGCUGCUUUGAAUGAGAUCUCUACCUGUAUAGUUAUGUUACUCUGUGAAUGAAAAAUUUUAUUUACACGUCCA